rnacentral:rRNA from 1 species
UACGUAGGGUGCAAGCGUUAAUCGGAAUUACUGGGCGUAAAGCGCGCGCAGGCGGUCUUCCAAGUCAGUGGUGAAAGCCCGGAGCUCAACUCCGGAACUGCCAUUGAAACUGUUGGACUUGAGUACGAGAGAGGUGAGUGGAAUUCCCAGUGUAGAGGUGAAAUUCGUAGAUAUUGGGAAGAACACCGGUGGCGAAGGCGGCUCACUGGCUCGUAACUGACGCUCAGGCGCGACAGCGUGGGGAGCAAACAGG